UACGGAGGAUGCAAGCGUUAUCCGGAAUGAUUGGGCGUAAAGGGUCCGCAGGUGGCAAUGUAAGUCUGCUGUCAAAGAAUGAGGCUUAACCUCAUCAAGGCAGUGGAAACUACAUAGCUAGAGUACGGUCGGGGUAGAAGGAAUUCCUGGUGUAGCGGUGAAAUGCGUAGAGAUCAGGAAGAACACCGGUGGCGAAAGCGUUCGGCUAGACCUGGACUGACACUGAGGGACGAAAGCUAGGGGAGCGAAUGGG
rnacentral:rRNA from 1 species